UACGUAGGGUGCGAGCGUUGUCCGGAUUUAUUGGGCGUAAAGAGCUCGUAGGCGGUUUGUCGCGUCGGCCGUGAAAUCUCCACGCUUAACGUGGAGCGUGCGGUCGAUACGGGCAGACUUGAGUUCGGCAGGGGAGACUGGAAUUCCUGGUGUAGCGGUGAAAUGCGCAGAUAUCAGGAGGAACACCGGUGGCGAAGGCGGGUCUCUGGGCAGUAACUGACGCUGAGGAGCGAAAUCGUGGGGAGCGAACAGG
rnacentral:rRNA from 1 species